AGAAAAAGAAAGGAAACACCCCCACACCAGGGCUCGCGGGAUUUACGAAUGGAAAAACGAAUUCUCCUCCUUGCUCACACAUCAUUGCCACCUGAAAUGCUUUCUCUCAGUGUCUUUGCACCUGCCCGACUGCAGACCCAUUUGCUGGACCUAACGGGGAAAAGAAGACCAACCCGUCAACGCUGGGAGAACAAAGAAUGUACUUAUGAGAGGAGCGCUGUGCAGCAUGAAACGGUUCGGAUAUACAAUAGCAAGAAGUAGCGCUUUUUACACUACUUUGGAAGCUUUUUCCACGAGGAAAACCUGCAGUGAACUUACCCCUCGACUUUCUGUAACAUCGUUUUCAUGCCGCUGUGUUCUUAAAUAUAUGCCAUCAUUUUCUUUUUCCCUUUAGUCUCUUUUCUAAGUUGAUACGCUCGGAGUGGUGCCUGUUUUUCUCCGCAAACAUGCGACACCGAGUCUUUCUGGAGUUGUGCUUUGAGCUUGUGGUGGUCUGAGACUCAGCCCCACGCGGGUUGUUUGUCUGGAGUCCCGUGUGGUGUGGGCCGGCCUUUGUCCAAUAUUACUGCCGGGCAGGAUCUUAACAGUUUUUUGUGAAUUGACUUUUUAAAAACUCAGCAUGCACUUGACUCACUGUAUUGUGUUAGCUUCCGGUGUACAGCAAAGGGUCUCAGUUACACAUAGACACACACCCGUUCCUUUUUGGGCGAGGCGCCUUUUGUCGUCCCCUUGCCUGGAGUUUUGCUGUCAGUGUCCCCACGUAUUUAAGGGUCACCCCAGCCCUUCCCUGCCACGUGUAAGGAAAGUGCUUUCGCACGUUUAACUUCGUUGAGGGUCUUUCCAGGGGCUCGGCAUUUCAUUUUCAGCGAGUCAAACCCAUCAAACUGGUUUUUCAACAGUGUCUGCAUUUGGUGACAUGCUUAGAAAUGGCUCCCCUAUGCUGGGCAGCUAUAAAUCUUCAGGUAUGUUUUUCCCAGUAUUUUACACCCUCAUUGGGUCACAUUUAAAACUUUAAAUUGCCUGGAAAGAACGCUGAUAUAUGACGUGUGGCACGGCUGGGACCUAUCAGAUUCCUG
rnacentral:lncRNA from 1 species